rfam:Triticum aestivum genome assembly, contig: Triticum_aestivum_CS42_TGACv1_scaffold_488173_6AS
AAUGUACUCCCUCCGUCCCAAAAUUCUUGUCUUAGAUUUGUCUAAAUACAAAUGUAUCAAGUCACGCUUUAGUAUUAGAUACAUCCGUAUCUAGACAAAUCUAAGACAAGAAUAUCGAGACGGAGGAAUACUCC